rnacentral:lncRNA from 1 species
AAAAGGCAGACUGUUAGGAACGAAACAUGAGACUUGACCAUUUUCUCCAGAGUCUUGAUCUUGCACAUUUAGAAGAGCAAUAACUGUACCUGGAGGAGAGUUUUCCAGCACUGAAUUAGUAGAAGAUGUGAUAGUUAUUUCUGGAGCAUUAUCAUUCACAUCCACAACUGUGAUCAAUAUCUUAGCAGUGGUCGAGAGACCUCCACCAUCUUGGCCUUGAAUUUCCAUCUCAUAAAAUCUAGAUUUCUCAAAAUCCAGAGACCCUCGUAUUAAAACUUCUCCAGUUUGAGAAUCCAACUGGAAUAUUUCAGAAGCUUUGCUUUCCAUAUUCCGGAAUGAAAACACCACUUCCCCAUUGAUUCCCUCAUCUGGAUCAGUUGCAUUUACCAUGAGAACCCGAGUUCCAGAGCUGAGGUUUUCAGGAAUACUCACUUGAUAUACAGACUGUGUAAACUUUGGUAUAUGGUCAUUUACAUCGAGGACCACUACACGAAUGGCAACAGCACCCUGUUGGAUGGGAUCUCCUCCAUCGAAAGCUGUGAGGAGGAGAUGGUGAGCAGCCUCCUUUUCCCGGUCCAAACUCCCCUCCAGCACUAGUUCAGGAUUCUUGGCCCCAUCCAUCCCGCCUCGCAUUUGCAAGGAAAAAUAACUAUUAGGAUUGAGCUGGUAGCGCUGGAGAGAGUUCAUUCCUACAUCUGGAUCCCUAGCGUUAGGAAGGGGAAAUCUCGAUCCUGGAGUUGCGUGCUCACUGACUUUUAUCUCUAUUUCUGCCUCCUGGAAGCUGGGGGCGUUAUCAUUAACAUCCAUUAUUUCCACCUCCACUCCGUAAAUCUUCAGGGUAUCUUCCACAAGUAUCUCUAUAUUUAAAAAACAGGAGGACAGUGUCUCACAGAGCUCCUCCCGGUCUAACCUACCUGCAGUGAUCAAGCUGCCACUUCGCGGAUUCAGAGCGAAAAGCUGCAUCCUGCCUCUGGAGAUGAUGCGGACUCGGCGUUCCGCCAGCUCCCAGGGUUCCAGCCCCAGGUCCUUGGAAAUAUUGCCCACGAAGAAGCCUUUAUCUGUCUCUUCGGGCACCGAGUAUUGGAUGUGCCCUGCCCCAGACUCCUGUAGCGUCCUCAGGAAAAUGUAUAGUAGGAUCAGCCCGCUGCGGUCCAGAAACAGUAGCCGAUUCCCCAUGGCAGUAAGCUGAGCUUAUAUUCCCUGGUUUCUUGGGCUGUUUUGUUCUGAAUCAGCUUAUGUAUCUACCAAGUUCAAGGAUGACUGCAUCCAGAAUAUAUUAGAGAGAGAACUACUUUAAGUUUCCACCAUCAGGAUCUGUGAGUAUCCAUGUUACUCUGCUUUGUGUUGUAGAGAUGGGGGAGGGAGGGAAGGCAGCUUGCAGCUUCCCAUUCCCUGAUUGGUGAAGAGCGGCGCCUAGAGCCAAAUCUUAUUAUUGCAACGAGUAAGAAAAGCCCAACUUAAUGUGUCUGUUCCAGAAGUUAUUACACACCUCUUCAAGAAUUACACAUAUUUGUAAAACUGAAAACUGCACAAAACAAAGGGUUGUAUAAUGUGAUGUUGAAGGUUUACCAAGAGCAUUUAAUAAAAGGAAUAAUUAUUAAAAGGGAUUGUUUAAUUUUAAAAAAUGUUUUCAAAUACUAUAGGAACUGAACAACUGCAAGUUAGACUUGCUUUCUAUUGAUUUUUACCAACUGAAGGGAACAGUAUUUAUGGAUGUGGAACUAGCUCGGUUCCAAAAAAAUCAUCAGAGCGCAUGACUAAAAUUCUUACCAAUAUUUCUUUAUUGAGUAAAAGAUGAAACAUUUGAGAAAAUUUGGAUGACAUUAGGCUGUCAUUUUAAAAAUUACCAUGAUAUAAAAAAAUAGAAUUGUGUUCCAUAUCCUUAAAUAAGAAGUAUUCUCUUUCAUGAAAAAUUUGCUUGAGAUUUCUAUAUAUUCUACCUUAAAUUGCAUAGUAGAAUGACUGCAGCACAGUAAACUUUAGUCUAAACAGUGAUACCAAUAGGUUUGACCUAGAUUUAUUUUAGGAAUUUUAUCAAGAGAUUGAAUCUAGAAUCAUUACUUGUAUUUAUUUAUUUUUUAAAAAUUUUUAAUGUUUAUUCAUUUUUGAGAGACAGAGACAGAGCACAAGCAGGUGCAGGGCAUAGAGACAGGGAAACACAGAAUCAGAAGCAGGCUCUAGGCUCUGCGCUGUCAGCACAGAGCCCAAUGCAGGGCUUUAUUCCAGCUCACGAACUGUGAGAUCAUGACCUGAGCCGAAGUCAGAUGCUUAACUGACUGAGCCACCCAGGCACCCCUAUUAAUUUAUUUUUAAAAAUUUUUUUUUCAACGUUUAUUUAUUUUUGGGACAGAGAGAGACAGAGCAUGAAUGGGGGAGGGGCAGAGAGAGAGGGAGACACAGAAUCGGAAACAGGCUCCAGGCUCUGAGCCAUCAGCCCAGAGCCCGACGUGGGGCUCGAACUCACGGACCGCGAGAUCGUGACCUGGCUGAAGUCGGACGCUUAACCGACUGCGCCACCCAGGCGCCCCUAUUAAUUUAUUUUUAAGUAAGCUCUACACCCAAAGUGGGGUUUGAAAUCACAACUGUGAGAUCAAGAGUCACAUGCUCUACCAACUGAGCCAGCCAGGCACCCCUUAAUCUAGAAUCUUUAAACAACAAUGCUCCAUUGGAAUACAUUGGCAUUAGAAUAUAAAAAGCAUUAUUUUAAAUACUUACCUGUUUUAAAGUUUUCUUAUCUGCUUCAACACUAGGAGUUAAAAUGCUAGUCAUUAGUCCCGAAGGGCUAUCUUUGUUGAGAAUAUCUUGUGUGGCUGGAAAAUGAUCAACAGAUGUGAGAAAAUUAAAUUCCGGAUUAGUUUGAUCCCCAGGCACACAAAAAUUAUAGGCAUAGGGUAAUGUUCCUUCACUGUAGUUGGCGGUAAUCUCGGGUCCAGACUUGGAACACCGAACAGACCCAAAGCAGCUCUCUGGGGCGUGGCUGGAAGAGCUUCGCAGGCGCAGGGCCACCGCCAGAAUCACCGCAAGGAGGAAGAGCACCGAGAUCAAGGCCAAAGCCACCACCAGGUAAAACUGCAGCUCGGCCUGGGGGUCAGAGGGCUCCGGACGGUCGCUGACAUCCGGCAGUACUUCUUGGAGGCUGUCGGCGAAAACCAGGUGCAGCGUCGCGGUGGCAGAGAGGGGCGGCUGUCCCCCGUCCCGCACGGCGACCAGCAGGCGCUGGCGGGCCGCGUCCCUGUCGCCCAAAGCACGCGCAGUGCGCACCUCGCCCGUGCGCAGCCCCAGGCUGAAGAGUCCGGGCUCGCUGGCCUGCAGCACGUGGUACGACAGCCACGCAUUGUGUCCCGAGUCGGCGUCCACCGCCACCACCUUGGUGACCAGGUAGCCGGGCUGCGCGGCGCGCGGCACCGUGUCGAAGAGCGCCGAGCCGUCGGGCCCCAGCGCCGGGUACAGCACCCUAGGCGCGUUGUCGUUGCGGUCGCCCACCAACACGCGCAGGCUCACGUUGGCGCUGAGCGCGGGCGAGCCCUGGUCGCGGGCCUGCACCGUCAGCUCGAAGGCGCGCAGCUGCUCGUGGUCGAAGGCGCGCUGCGCGAACACCACGCCGCUCUGCGCGCUCACGGACACGUAGGACGCCAGCGCCCGCGGCUCCAGGUCGCUGGCCACGAUGGAGUAGGACACGCGGCCGUUGGGCCCUAGGUCGGGGUCGGAGGCGCUGACUUGGGCGAUGGAGGCUCCUGGAGGGUUAUUCUCAGCCACGUGGACCACAUAGGAGGCCUGGUGGAAAAUCGGUGUGUUGUCAUUGACAUCGGUGAUGUGCAAGGUGAUGGUAGUGCUGGAGGAGAGGGGCGGAAUGCCCCUGUCAGUGGCUGUGAUGGUGACGUUGUAUUCCGGAGUCUGUUCUCGGUCUAGGGGUCCAUCUGUCACCAGCUUGUAGUAAUUAUUAGAUGAAGAAUGAAUCUUAAAUGGAAUAUCUCUACUUAAGUUACAAAUGACUUCUCCGUUUUCCCCAGAAUCCUGGUCCUGUGUUUUGAAGAGAACAACAACCAUUCCUGGAUGGGAAUCCUCCAAAAUUUGAUCAGAGAGAGAAGUAAUGAUUAUUUCAGGGAUGUUGUCGUUUUCAUCUAGAACUUCUAUGAUUACUUUACACUGGGUAGAGAGGGAUCCUCGGUCUUUCGCUUCUACAUCCAUGGUAUAUCUUUCUACUUCUUCAAAAUCCAAGGGUUGCUGAGUUAUAAUGUUUCCUGUGGCAGAAUCCAGAGAGAACACAUGCUGGGCUUUAUUAGCCAUACCAAGGAAUGAGUAGGUGAUCUCCGCGUUGAAGCCUUCGUCUUGGUCAGUGGCACUCACCUGCACCACUGAGGUGCCUGGGGGUACACCUUCACGAAGACUGACCCUAUACAUACCUUGGCUGAACACCGGGGGGUUAUCAUUGGCAUCCACCACCAGGAUUCGGAUCUGAGCUGUGCUGCUUCGUGGUGGAUUUCCAUUGUCAAAUGCUGUCAGCACCAGAUGAUGAGAGCUUUGUGUUUCCCGGUCCAGGGUCUUCUUCAGUACUAAUUCUGGAUAUUUGCCACCAUCGGGAUUGUCUUUCACCACCAAGGAGAAGUACUCAUUAGGGCUUAGCUCGUAUUUGCUCAGUGAAUUC